GAUGAACGCUGGCGGCGUGCUUAACACAUGCCAGUCGAACGAUGAAGCCCAGCUUGCUGGGUGGAUUAGUGGCGAACGGGUGAGUAACACGUGAGUAACCUGCCCUUAACUCUGGGAUAAGCCUGGGAAACUGGGUCUAAUACCGGAUAGGAGCGUCCACCGCAUGGUGGGUGUUGGAAAGAUUCAUCGGUUUUGGAUGGACUCGCGGCCUAUCAGCUUGUUGGUGAGGUAAUGGCUCACCAAGGCGACGACGGGUAGCCGGCCUGAGAGGGUGACCGGCCACACUGGGACUGAGACACGGCCCAGACUCCUACGGGAGGCAGCAGUGGGGAAUAUUGCACAAUGGGCGCAAGCCUGAUGCAGCGACGCCGCGUGAGGGAUGACGGCCUUCGGGUUGUAAACCUCUUUCAGUAGGGAAGAAGCGAAAGUGACGGUACCUGCAGAAGAAGCACCGGCUAACUACGUG
rnacentral:rRNA from 1 species